CACGAGGUGAGUGUAUCGUGGAUCGACACGUCUCAUGCCUUCCUGGCGCUACGCGUCGGCGAGCUAUAGAAGGGGCCCAGCGUUAGAAAAUGUUAAAUGCUCUUUCCUGGUUUCUUGGCUUUCGAUCUUGAGGCAGAGUGUACAUGAUUUUUCUCCUCUCUGCUGACGUGAUCUCGGAAUUGGCAUCACGGUGCUAGCUGGUGACACAAUGCAAUAAUGGCCGUCCAAAGCUCCUGGGGAACGUCCAAGCUUGCAGUAUGCCUGCGUCCCGAGGUCUCAAUCCGAGUUUUGGCCAAAGUGACAUGAGCUGCGGACUUGGAGAUACGGGAGAGUGGCACAGGUCCGCAAGAAAGCACGGGAACUUCGCAAACAACGCCAGCUUGUUACAUUUAAAAUACACCGUGACGCUCCACAAACAAACAGUGUCGGAGAGGCUAAGGUU